AACGAACGCUGGCGGUAUGCUUAACACAUGCAAGUCGAACGAAUUUUGCUGGAGCUUGCUUCAGUAAAUUAGUGGCAAACGGGUGAGUAACACGUGGGAAUCUACCCAUCGAGUACGGAAUAACAUUUAGAAAUAGAUGCUAAUACCGUAUAUUCUCUAAGGAGGAAAGAUUUAUCGCUGAUGGAUGAGCCCGCGUAAGAUUAGGUAGUUGGUAGGGUAAUGGCCUACCAAGCCGACGAUCUUUAGCUGGUCUGAGAGGAUGAUCAGCCACACUGGGACUGAGACACGGCCCAG
rnacentral:rRNA from 1 species